rnacentral:sRNA from 1 species
UCCGUGCCGCCGUCCCGCCCGCCAGCGCCCCAGUGAGGAAGCAGCGCGCAGCCCGCGGCCCAGCGCACCCGCAGCAGCGCCCGCAGCUCGUCCGCGCCAUGUUCCAGGCGGCCGAGCGCCCCCAGGAGUGGGCCAUGGAGGGCCCCCGCGACGGGCUGAAGAAGGAGCGGCUACUGGACGACCGCCACGACAGCGGCCUGGACUCCAUGAAAGACGAGGAGUACGAGCAGAUGGUCAAGGAGCUGCAGGAGAUCCGCCUCGAGCCGCAGGAGGUGCCGCGCGGCGCGGAGCCCUGGAAGCAGCAGCUCACCGAGGACGGGGACUCGUUCCUGCACUUGGCCAUCAUCCAUGAAGAAAAGGCACUGACCAUGGAAGUGAUCCGCCAGGUGAAGGGAGACCUGGCCUUCCUCAACUUCCAGAACAACCUGCAGCAGACUCCACUCCACUUGGCUGUGAUCACCAACCAGCCAGAAAUUGCUGAGGCACUUCUGGGAGCUGGCUGUGAUCCUGAGCUCCGAGACUUUCGAGGAAAUACCCCCCUACACCUUGCCUGUGAGCAGGGCUGCCUGGCCAGCGUGGGAGUCCUGACUCAGUCCUGCACCACCCCGCACCUCCACUCCAUCCUGAAGGCUACCAACUACAAUGGUAUGUCUGCCUCCCUGCCCUGCCCCACCCCCUCGGAGGGCAGGUGACGUGGAGAAGGGGCAGGUGGGCCAACUUAAGGAGUCCAGGCAAGAGCUUAAACUCCUAACAUUUGGAAGGUUGAGAAAAUAUGUGUGC